AUUGAACGCUGGCGGCAGGCCUAACACAUGCAAGUCGAACGAGUGGCGGACGGGUGAGUAAUGUCUGGGCAUCUGCCUGAUGGCGGGGGAUAACUACUGGAAACGGUAGCUAAUACCGCAUACCAUCGGAUGUGCCCAUAUGGGAUUCGCUAGUAGGUGGGGUAACGGCUCACCUAGGCGACGAUCCCUAACUGGUCUGAGAGGAUGAUCAGGCACACUGGAACUGAGACACGGUCCAGACUCCGACGGGAGGCAGCAGUGGGGAAUAUUGGACAAUGGGCGAAAGCCUGAUGCAGCCAUGCCGCGUGGAUGAAGAAGGUCUUCGGGUUGUAAAGUACUUUAAGUCGGGAGGCGUUACCAACAGAAGAAGCACCGGCUAACUUCGUGCCAGCAGCCGCGGUAAUAC
rnacentral:rRNA from 1 species